rnacentral:rRNA from 1 species
AUGAACGCUGGCGGCGUGCCUAAUACAUGCAAGUCGAGCGAACAGACGAGGAGCUUGCUCCUCUGACGUUAGCGGCGGACGGGUGAGUAACACGUGGAUAACCUACCUAUAAGACUGGGAUAACUUCGGGAAACCGGAGCUAAUACCGGAUAAUAUAUUGAACCGCAUGGUUCAAUAGUGAAAGACGGUUUUGCUGUCACUUAUAGAUGGAUCCGCGCCGCAUUAGCUAGUUGGUAAGGUAACGGCUUACCAAGGCAACGAUGCGUAGCCGACCUGAGAGGGUGAUCGGCCACACUGGAACUGAGACACGGUCCAGACUCCUACGGGAGGCAGCAGUAGGGAAUCUUCCGCAAUGGGCGAAAGCCUGACGGAGCAACGCCGCGUGAGUGAUGAAGGUCUUCGGAUCGUAAAACUCUGUUAUUAGGGAAGAACAAAUGUGUAAGUAACUAUGCACGGCUUGACGGUACCUAAUCAGAAAGCCACGGCUAACUACGUG